rnacentral:rRNA from 1 species
AUUGAACGCUGGCGGCAGGCCUAACACAUGCAAGUCGAGCGGAGCGGCGGACGGGUGAGUAAUGCCUAGGAAUCUGCCUGGUAGUGGGGGAUAACGUACGGAAACGGGCGCUAAUACCGCAUACUAUCAGAUGAGCCGAGGUCGGAGUAGCGAGUUGGUGGGGUAAAGGCCUACCAAGGCGACGAUCCGUAACUGGUCUGAGAGGAUGAUCAGUCACACUGUACCGGAGAACCGGUCCAGACUCCUACGGGAGGCAGCAGUGGGGACUAUUGGACAAUGGGCGAAAGCCUGAUCCAGCCAUGCCGCGUGUGUGAAGAAGGUCUUCGGAGUGUAAAGCACUUUAAGUUGGGAGGCGUUACCAACAGAAUAAGCACCGGCUAACUUCGUGCCAGCCGCCGCGGUAAUUC